AGUUUCAGGGUCUCGCCGGCAGCCCCAGCCGGCGGGCGCGGAGCGGGCAGCGGGGCCCGGAUCGCAGGCUCCUCUGGGGGCCCCGGAGUUGGGAAGCGGCGUCCGGGAGCCCCCGGAGGAGGAUGGGCUGCAGACACAGCAGGCUGAGCAGCUGCAAACCCCCGAAAAAGGCAAUCCCGCCCUCUCUUUUACAACCACCCUUACACUGUCUGCUGAAGAACAGGGGAUGGUGUGGAGGGCUCCAGGUUCUCACCCAGGCCUCCUGAGCAAGGGACCCUCCUUUCCUGCUCU
rnacentral:lncRNA from 1 species